UGUCGAUAUCGUGGUCAACAACGCCGCCAGCUUCCCGGGCGCGCUGACGGUCGACCAGGACGUGUCGUCGUUCGAGUCGACGUUCGACACC
rnacentral:tRNA from 1 species